GGCAGAGGGCGAGGGGCCAAGUUCCCUUGGCCACAGGCCAUGGGAUCUUCUCUUCCUCUAGACACUCUUUCUCAGGGUACCCGCUGCCCUUGGGGGCUCCCAGUGGGUGGACAUCUGGCAUGGACACUUGGGCCUCGGUGCAUUUGUCCAGGCUGGGCAUUCUGUGCCUGAGGGGUGCCUGGUGGGUGGAAUGAUUCUCUUGGGGGCAUUUGUGCACUCCUGUUCCCUCCUGUGAGGGGCACAGAAGAUGGAAAGUGAAGGGCUGAUGGUCCUUGAUGGCUAUGCAGAAGGUGGAACCCAGCCUGACCCAGCCCCUGGAGAGUGGGGAGUCUUGGGGGCUGAGUGUGGAUGGGCCCCUCAGCACAGUUCUUGGCUUUCUCUUUGACAACAAAUGCCUUUAGCUAUUAUCUCCUCUGCUGUUUCUUUUUUAUUGAUUAUUUAGCCAUCCUUAUAAUAGAAAUAAACAGUAAGUAACAAAUAUGUAAAAUGAAUACCAGCUGUCUCUAGUGUGCCUAAUUUGCACAACUUAUGAGAUCAUUAUGACCACUGUUUACUAUUUAGUUGUAGGGUUGUGUUCUGUUUGUUUGUUUUAAGUUAAGUUAGUCAAAAGGCUCCACUCUGCCUUCUUGUUUCAGCUCUUAUACAAAGAUAACCAGAAGACAGAGCCAGUAGUGCAAUACGAUGUAGUGCAAGAAAUUCCAGCUCUGGGGCCAGUUGGACAGGGUUUGAAUCCCAACUUUGGCACCUGCUAGUGGGGUGGCCUCAGGCAAGUCACUUAACACUUCUGAACCUCAUUUUCACUUUUAAAAAAAAUGGAACUUUUUGAGAUAGUUAUAGCAUUUUUACUUUUGUGAAAUAAAACAGAAUUUACCAGGAUGAGUUGUUUUAGGAUUAAGAUUGUAAUCUAUGUGAGAAAUAUAUACAUAUUUCCCCCAGAAGCAAUGGUUCAGUAUUUACUAACUCAGUGCACCAGCUUUUAGAACAUUACUACCAGUUUGGGUUUUUUUGAUUGAUGUUAUUUUAGGAGUUUUCCGUAUGGUUGGUUACAUUGUCCACAUAUUUAUUAGUUUAAAUAGCAACAUAACAGUGUAUUGUAGUGAAGUAACAUAGUUUACUUACCCCCUCCCUAAUUCUUGGGAGUUCAUUGUUUCCAAUUUAGGUUUAUUAUAUACGGUGCAUCUUUAAGUCUUUGCAUGGGUCUGUGAGGGUAUUCUCUUCCUUUCUUUAAGUCAGCUCAUUGCUUAUCCAUUCCUGAAGGUGGGACAGCCGGGCCAGAGGAUGAUGUAUUUUAUGGCUAUUGUUGUUCCACAAAGAGCUACUAAGCAAUUUCAGAGUGUCCUGCCCUCCCCCUCAUCCCCAUGGCAAUUGGGUUUAUAUCUACUUACUGUUGCUAAGUUUAGAGAUUCGACCUCCCUUGUUUUUCCCACAUCCCUGGGUAUCAGGAUGGACAAAUCUUACUCUCCAUAAUUUACAGCUGGUGGAAGAGUCUAGCUGGGAGUAAGAGGUUUGUGCAGAGAACCCCCUUUGCAGCUCCUCUAGGCAGCAAGCAUUUACUAAGUGCCCGCAGUAUGAUGAGUGAAACAGAGUCCUGGCAGCGAGGAAAUCACAGUCCAGGGAAUGUCAUAGACACACAGACAGCUGCCCAAGAUCCACCCUGGUUGUGAAUCCCAGUGCUGCCACUUACCAGCUGGGGGACCCUCAGCAAGAUACUCGCCUUCUCAAUUUCUUUACCUAGAAAGUGGGUUGUUGUGAGGAUUUGAUGAGGACACAAUGUGACGUACCUACCACUGUGCCUGACUCCCAGUGAGAAUCCAGUGAGCAUUGGUUUCUCUUCCCCUCCAUGAAGAGAAAAGGCCAGAAGUGCGAGGGAGGGAGGAGGUGGUCAGAGCCUCAGGGAGUGGUGGGGUCAUGGUGAGGUCUCCCCUUUGCUAGUUUAGAAACUCCAUUUGGGCACGCUGAACACUAGUAAACGCCACACUAUCAAUCUGUGCUCUGGCUCGAGCCAGACCUCCUGAACCCCUUCGCUGCUGAGGAACUUAACCAGAGCUGGCUGCUAAGGAUGCCUCAGCCCCUCUGACCUAACACAGCAGAAAUGGUGGGCCUCCAACGGAGCAGCACCGGCUUUGCAGUCAGAGCCACUUGGGUUCAAAUCCCAGCUCUGAAGCACUUACCAGCUUUGUGAGUUAAUCUCUUUCUGAGAUUUUUUCCUCAUCAGUAAAAUGGGAAUAAUAAUAAUU